rnacentral:misc_RNA from 1 species
CUUCAGGCGACCAGCGGAAAACGCUCGGCAUAACCUCCCCUUUUCCUGGCAAUGACAUCAGUUCCAGGCCAGUCCGGUCCAUAGGGCUGCGAACCGCAUGGCUCGCCACGGCCGGAUUUGCGCUGCCUGCCGAUGCCCAGGUCUACUGGCCGAUGGACCCCGGCGCCACUUACUACCCGGAACCGCAGCAUCACCUGGAGCCGCGCCGUCCGCGCGUUGCCCGCGCCAAACCGAAAUUGCC